rnacentral:tRNA from 1 species
GUUUCCGUAGUGUAGUGGUUAUCACGUUGGCCUCACACGCGAAAGGUCCCCAGUUCGAAACUGGGCGGAAACA